GAGGAGCUGACUGCAGGAUUCGGCUUCGGUUGCAUUCCUUCCUAGAGAAGCUGCACAACAGGCUUCAGGAGCCACUUAACGGACUCGGAUUUGGAGAGUUAGAGUCUUUGUCGACAGCGCUCUGCGAUCCGGCCAAUAACAACAAGGUCCGCUGACUUCUGGCGAGCAUCUGUGGCGAUCUCUGUCAAACAUCGAGGGACAUUUUUCCACUGUUCAGGACUUUUUUUUUCAGAGAUCAGAGCUGACACCAAC